rnacentral:lncRNA from 1 species
AACAUCUGUAAUGUUCUUGAGAACUGCCAGGCUUGUCCCUGCUAUGCUGUUAUCAGCUUGUGCUAGCGUCAGGGGAACAGGGAUGGGGCUGAUUCUUCAACAGGCUCUGCUGAUGCUUGUACCUCUGGAGCCUGCUGCAUGUGCAUGGUACUCGGACAUAGGAGAAGAGUGAAUAGCCUCAAAGACCCAGAAUAACCAUCAGAGCUUUAUCAGGACCUGUGCUUGCGGUUCACUCCUUAUGGACUGACACAAAUGAAGUGAUAAUGAUGGUUCCCCUCAAUUACCACAAAACAGUUUAAAAAUUGAGCAUCUUUAAAAAAUGGAGCUGUCUCAAAUCCUUACUCCGGUGUGUUGCUGUCUCGAAUCAGUGUUGCUGUGGCUGCUGGGUUGUUUGUUUGUCUGAUGAAGUGGGAAAAAAAAGCUGUUGUGAAGCUGGGGAUGAAACUAGGCUGAGAAAAGGGUUUUUUUUUCAUCCUUCUCAGUCUCAGCCUUUCCAGGUGGGAUCCAGUAGGUGCCAGUCUCACCUUGUGGAGCAGGGGAAAAUGGAAACUGCUAGCAAUUCUUCACAGAAGUAAAAAAAUACAGCAACAGAGCGGGUGGGAGGAAAAAUGAAAGCCCGUAGGAAAGACCUCUGUUCUCUGGGAUGCUCACUUCAUUUCUUUUUCCCUACUCAGCAAAGUUUAUCUUCGGCUCGGCAGCACAAACCAGCCUCCUCCCUGCUCUUUAAUUAGUGUGUUGUAAAGGAAGAAGGUAUUGGGGGAAGAAAAUAGAAAUAGGAUAUUGUGUUUUGAUGCCCCAAUAGGUAGAAAAAUGCAUGGUUUCCAAAUAUGAUAGCUAAUGCUUAAUCUGACAGCAUGUCUCUUAUCAACAGGCUGUGUGUGACACCCCAUUACGUGAUAAUGGAAUCCUAUACGGAGACCACAGGAGACCUGGUUCCAUUCAAUUAGCUUGCAAAACAGCAAACCUCUGAAAGCAUCUUUGUCUCCUCUUUUCCCCACCUCUUUCUCUCUCUCUUUUUUUUUUUAUUUUUCCCUGAGAAAAUGAGAGAGUGAAUAUUUCUAUUUUAUUUUGUGGAGGAUUAGUACCAACUAAUAGGAUUAAUAUCCUGAGUUGUGUGGCAAAUGGAACAUUGUUAAUAGGGUGAUUAUUAGAGAAUUAUAUGGAGGGGCAAA